rnacentral:rRNA from 1 species
AUUGAACGCUGGCGGCAGGCCUAACACAUGCAAGUCGAGCGGAUGAAGGGAGCUUGCUCCUGGAUUCAGCGGCGGACGGGUGAGUAAUGCCUAGGAAUCUGCCUGGUAGUGGGGGAUAACGUCCGGAAACGGGCGCUAAUACCGCAUACGUCCUGAGGGAGAAAGUGGGGGACUUCGGAACCCACGCCAUCAGGUUAGGCUAGGUCGGAUUAGCUAGUUGGUGGGGUAAAGGCCUACCAAGGCGACGAUCCGUAACUGGUCUGAGAGGAUGAUCAGUCACACUGGAACUGAGACACGGUCCAGACUCCUACGGGAGGCAGCAGUGGGGAAUAUUGGACAAUGGGCGAAAGCCUGAUCCAGCCAUGCCGCGUGUGUGAAGAAGGUCUUCGGAUUGUAAAGCACUUUAAGUUGGGAGGAAGGGCAGUAAGUUAAUACCUUGCUGUUUUGACGUUACCAACAGAAUAAGCACCGGCUAACUUCGUG